GACGAACGCUGGUGGCGUGCUUAACACAUGCAAGUCGAACGAUGAACCGGAGCUUGCUCUGGGGAUUAGUGGCGAACGGGUGAGUAACACGUGGGCAACCUGCCCCAGACACCGGGAUAACCAUUCGAAAGGAUGGCUAAUACCGGAUACGACCACUUCGGGCAUCCGAUGGUGGUGGAAAGGAUUCUGGUCUGGGAUGGGCCCGCGGCCUAUCGGCUUGUUGGUGGGGUAAUGGCCUACCAAGGCGACGACGGGUAGCCGGCCUGAGAGGGCGACCGGCCACACUGGGACUGAGACACGGCCCAGACUCCUACGGGAGGCAGCAGUGGGGAAUAUUGCGCAAUGGGCGAAAGCCUGACGCAGCGACGCCGCGUGAGGGACGAAGGUCUUCGGAUUGUAAACCUCUUUCAGCAGGGAUGAAGCGAAAGUGACAGUACCUGCAGAAGAAGCACCGGCUAACUACGUGCCAGCCGCCGCCGUAAGAC
rnacentral:rRNA from 1 species